rnacentral:rRNA from 1 species
UACGUAGGGCGCAAGCGUUAUCCGGAAUUAUUGGGCGUAAAGAGCUCGUAGGCGGUUUGUCGCGUCUGCCGUGAAAGUCCGGGGCUCAACUCCGGAUCUGCGGUGGGUACGGGCAGACUAGAGUGAUGUAGGGGAGACUGGAAUUCCUGGUGUAGCGGUGAAAUGCGCAGAUAUCAGGAGGAACACCGAUGGGCGAAGGCAGGUCUCCUGGGCAUUAACUGACGCUGAGGAGCGAAAGCAUGGGGAGCGAACAGG